AGACCGUUCUCUUCAGAGGCCGGUCAUUGGAAUGGGUACAAUUUAAACCCUUUAACGAGUAUCUAUGAGAGGGCAAGUCUGGUGCCAGCAACCGCGGUAAUUCCAGCUCUCAAAAUGCAUAGAAUCAUUGCUGCGGUAAAAAAGCUCGUAGUUGGAUCUGUGCUGGCGGGUCGGUCCACCUUCGGGUGCGCACUGAUUUCGCCGGCUUUCCUGCUGUAUUUGGCCCUGUGCCUUUCAACGGGUGCAGUGUCCAGUGCAGCAAGUUUACCUUGAACAAAUCAGAGUGCUUCAAACAGGCGUUUCGCUUGAAUGUUCGUGCAUGGAAUAAUAGAAGAGGAUUUCGGUUCUAUUUUAUUGGUUUUAUAGACUGAGAUAAUGGUUAACAGAGACUAACGGGGGCAUUAGUAUUGCUACGUGAGAGGUGAAAUUCUUGGACCGUAGCAAGACUGACUACAGCGAAAGCAUUUGCCAAGAAAGUCUUCAUUAAUCAAGAACGAAAGUCAGAGGUUCGAAGGCGAUCAGAUACCGCCCUAGUUCUGACCGUAAACGAUGCCAACUAGUGAUCCGCCGGUGGAACAUUCGCCCUGGUGGGGAACUUCCCGGAAACGAAAGUCUUCCGGUUCCGGGGGAAGUAUGGUUGCAAAGCUGAAACUUAAAGGAAUUGACGGAAGGGCACCACCAGGAGUGGAGCCUGCGGCUUAAUUUGACCCAACACGGGAAAACUCACCCGGCCCGGACACCGUAAGGAUUGACAGAUUGAUAGCUCUUUCAUGAUUCGGUGGAUGGUGGUGCAUGGCCGUUCUUAGUUCGUGGAGCGAUUUGUCUGGUUUAUUCCGAUAACGAGCGAGACUCCGGCCUACUAAAUAGUUUACACAUUGCUUCUGUGUGCAUAACUUCUUAGAGGGAUUUUCGGUGUUCAGCCGCAAGAAAUUGAGCAAUAACAGGUCUGUGAUGCCCUUAGAUGUCCGGGGCUGCACGCGCGCUACACUGGCAAAAUCAGCGUGCUUGUCCUUCCCCGAAAGGGGUUGGUAAACUCGUGAAAAUUUGCCGUGAUUGGGAUCGGAAAUUGCAAUUAUUUUCCGUGAACGAGGAAUUCCAAGUAAGCGCGAGUCAUCAACUCGCGUUGAUUACGUCCCUGCCCUUUGUACACACCGCCCGUCGCUGCCCGGGACUGAGCCGUUUCGAGAAACUUGGAGACCGCUGAUCUGGUAACUUCGAUUGCCAUUUUGGUGGGAACCAAUUUAA
rnacentral:rRNA from 1 species